CACUUCGGCCUUGGUCGGAGUGGUGGGCUGCUGCCCUCACAAUGCUUAUGAGGGCAGCGGUUCAAGUCCCCACAAAAGCAUUUGUGGGGGCUAACGUGUUUAUUUGUUUAAUAUUUCAAAAAUUUCCUCUCCCUCGUGCAAUACGAGUGGAGUAUGGACAUCCCUCUUCUGUAAGGGAUUAUUUGUCUGGGCAUGUACUUCACAGAAUUCAAUGUAAUAAUAUAAGUCCCAAUCAUGUAUUUCUGAUUGUAAAUAUCAGUGUAAUAUAUCUGCUAUAAUAGCAGUUGUAAAUAUCUGUGUAAUGCAGUAAUAUGAUGAUU
rnacentral:lncRNA from 1 species